rnacentral:rRNA from 1 species
UGCUUCUUGGGUGACGAGCGGCGGACGGGUGAGUAAUGCAUAGGAAUCUGCCCGAUAGUGGGGGAUAACCUGGGGAAACCCAGGCUAAUACCGCAUACGUCCUACGGGAGAAAGGGGGCUCCGGCUCCCGCUAUGGGAUGAGCCUAUGUCGGAUUAGCUAGUUGGUGAGGUAACGGCUCACCAAGGCAACGAUCCGUAGCUGGUCUGAGAGGAUGAUCAGCCACAUCGGGACUGAGACACGGCCCGAACUCCUACGGGAGGCAGCAGUGGGGAAUAUUGGACAAUGGGCGCAAGCCUGAUCCAGCCAUGCCGCGUGUGUGAAGAAGGCCCUCGGGUUGUAAAGCACUUUCAGCGAGGAAGAACGCCUAGCGGUUAAUACCCGCUAGGAAAGACAUCACUCGCAGAAGAAGCACCGGCUAACUCCGUGCCAGCAGCCGCGGUAAUACGGAGGGUGCAAGCGUUAAUCGGAAUUACUGGGCGUAAAGCGCGCGUAGGUGGCUUGAUAAGCCGGUUGUGAAAGCCCCGGGCUCAACCUGGGAACGGCAUCCGGAACUGUCAAGCUAGAGUGCAGGAGAGGAAGGUAGAAUUCCCGGUGUAGCG